rnacentral:rRNA from 1 species
UACGGGGGGGGGCAAGCGUUUGUUCGGAAUUACUGGGCGUAAAGGGCUCGUAGGCGGCCAACUAAGUCAGACGUGAAAUCCCUAGGCUCAACCUAGGAACUGCGUCUGAUACUGGAUGGCUUGAAUCCGGGGAGAGGGAUGCAGAAUUCCAGGUGUAGCGGUGAAAAUGCGUAGAUAUCUGGAGGAAUACCGGUGGCGAAGGCGGCAUCCUGGACCGGGCAUUGACGCUGAGGGAGCGAAAAAGCCCAGGGGGGAGCAAACGGGGAUUAGAAA